AUAUUGGUCAAUGGAGGCAACUCUGAACCAGCCAUGCCGCGUGCAGGAAGACAGCCCUAUGGGUCGUAAACUGCUUUUAUGUCGGAAUAAACCUAGGUACGUGUACUUAGCUGAAUGUACGGCAAGAAUAAGGAUCGGCUAACUCCGUGCCAGCAGCCGCGGUAAUACGGAGGAUCCAAGCGUUAUCCGGAUUUAUUGGGUUUAAAGGGAGCGUAGGCGGCUUAUUAAGUCAGGGGUGAAAGACGGUGGCUCAACCAUCGCAGUGCCUUUGAUACUGAUGAGCUUGAAUAUAGUUGAGGUAGGCGGAAUGUGACAAGUAGCGGUGAAAUGCAUAGAUAUGUCACAGAACACCAAUUGCGAAGGCAGCUUACUAAGGUAUGAUUGACGCUGAGGCACGAAAGCGUGGGGAUCAAACAGG
rnacentral:rRNA from 1 species